rnacentral:rRNA from 1 species
CUACGGGAGGCACCAGUGGGGAAUCUUGCACAAUGGGGGAAACCCUGAUGCAGCGACGCCGCGUGAGCGAUGAAGCCCCUCGGGGUGUAAAGCUCUUUCGGCAGGAACGAUUAUGACGGUACCUGCGGAAGAAGCUGCGGCUAACUACGUGCCAGCAGCCGCGGUAAUACGUAGGCAGCAAGCGCUGUUCGGAGUUACUGGGCGUAAAGAGUGUGUAGGCGGUUUUGUAAGUUCGGCGUGAAAUCUCCCGGCUCAACCGGGAGUGUGCGUCGAAAACUGCAGAGCUUGAGCGCGGGAGAGGGAAGCGGAAUUCCUGGUGUAGCGGUGAAAUGCGUAGAUAUCAGGAGGAACACCGGUGGUGUAGACGGCUUCCUGGACCGUUGCUGACGCUGAGACACGAAAGCGUGGGGAGCAAACAGGAUUAGAUACCCUUGUAGUC